AACGCACAUUGCGCCCCUUGGUAUUCCAUGGGGCAUGCCUGUUCGAGCGUCAUUUGUACCUUCAAGCUUUGCUUGGUGUUGGGUGCUUGUCUUUUUGUCAAGACUCACCUCAAAGUCAUUGGCAGCCAGUGUUUUGGUAGUAAGCGCAGCACAUUUUGCGUCUUGGUCCCUCAACAGCAGCAUCCAUCAAGCCAUUUUCUCACUUUUGACCUCGGAUCAGGUAGGGAUACCCGCUGAACUUAA
rnacentral:misc_RNA from 1 species